GAUGAACGCUAGCGGCAGGCCUAACACAUGCAAGUCGAGGGGUAACGAUGGCUUCGGCCAGGCGACGACCGGCGCACGGGUGAGUAUCGCGUUUGUAACCUACCUCUGACUGGAGGAUAGCCCGAAGAAAUUCGGAUUAAUACUCCAUAAUACUAUGGACAGGCAUCUGUUCAUGGUUAAAGCCCCGGCGGUCAGAGAUGGGCAUGCGUGACAUUAGCUUGUUGGUGAGGUAACAGCUCACCAAGGCUACGAUGUCUAGGGGGUCUGAGAGGAUGGUCCCCCCACACUGGUACUGAGACACGGACCAGACUCCUACGGGAGGCAGCAGUGAGGAAUAUUGGUCAAUGGGCGAAAGCCUGAACCAGCCAUGCCGCGUGAAGGAUGACAGCCCUAUGGGUUGUAAACUUCUUUUGUACGGGAAGAAACGCUUCUACGUGUAGAGGUUUGACGGUACCGUACGAAUAAGCAUCGGCUAACUCCGUGCCAGCAGCCGCGGUAAUACGGAGGAUGCAAGCGUUAUCCGGAUUUAUUGGGUUUAAAGGGUACGUAGGCGGGAGCUUAAGUCAGUGGUGAGAUCCUGCAGCUUAACUGUAGAACUGUCAUUGAUACUGGGCUUCUUGAAUGUAGUUGAGGUAGGCGGAAUGUGUAAUGUAGCGGUGAAAUGCUUAGAUAUUACACAGAACACCGAUUGCGAAGGCAGCUUACUAAACUACGAUUGACGCUGAGGUACGAAAGCGUGGGGAGCGAACAGGAUUAGAUACCCUGGUAGUCCACGCUGUAAACGAUGAUCACUCGUUGUUG
rnacentral:rRNA from 1 species